CCACUUUGAUAUCAAUAACCAUCUUAUGACAUUUACAGAUCACAAGCUUGAAGUGGCUUUUGAGGCUCCGUAAACAGCUUUGGUUGUGUAAGCAGGAACAGAAAAAGCUCUGAAGCCCCAUUCCUUAUUGGGAAUCCUCUCGGGACAAACAGGCUUGUGAUUCCAGACAUUUUAGCGGUUGCUGCUGUACUGUGGGGCUACCACUAAAACGAGGGUAAAAUUAUAAUAAUACAACUAUGAUCACUGGUUCAUUCAAUAAAAAUCAAUUAAAAAAAA